AGGGAAGCAGAGGAAAGUUUGGAGGAGUGCUGCUGUGGGCUAAGAAGUCCAAGACCCUAGUUUUCCUGUACCCGUGCCAGUGGAAAUCCUCAAGGCAGGUGUUCCAUAUUUGGGGUCCUGAAUUAAGAAGGGCCUGGAUGGAAACCAAGGAUACCUAAGCCAGCUACAGCGGCCUUGAAGAACCAUAGUGGGAGAGAAUUAUCCUCAGGCACCAGAAAGAUUGAUGUCCCCCUCUACUGAAAGAAUGGAAGGAGAAUCUGUCUUAUCAGAUAUGACUGCCUGUACAAGAGGAUGGCUUUAGCAUAAAGCCUAAUAUUGACAGAUUGAACAGAAGAUAGAAAGCUUUUUUUGAUCUUAUGGAACCAGAGGGACCAAACUAGUGAGCUGCUUAGCACCUCUUCAAUGGUACUAUGUCCCAUAAUCAUUCGUACUAUCAUAGCAUUUAAAGGCUUAGGACACCAUUGUGCUAGGUGUUGUAUAAACAAGGAUAGACACAUUUUCUACCAAAACAUCUUACUAGUUAAUCUGUAACAAGACCCAACAUUUGGGUGUGACAAACAAAAUGGGGAGGAGUUAAGAGCAAGGAGGAUGGCAAUGACAAUGUAAUCUUGCAGUUAUGUGGUCAGCUAUCUGCAUACCUCCAUGGUUCCAAAAUAAUAUAAAUAUUUCCAACUUCUGAUCCAGCUAGUCUUCACUGUUUGGCUGACAUCUUGCAGGGAUUUAAAGAGGGUAGUGGUUUCAGGCCCUGAUUCACCUGUCUAACCAUAGUCCACAAAAUACUAAGAACAUGCUUUACUUUAGACAUAUGCUUAAGUAUCAUUGACUUCAAUGGGACUUAUUCAUAUACUGAACAUUUAGUAUGUACUUUUGUGUGUUGCUGAACAGGGAUGAAUUUAAGUGUGAGCUUAAACACUUUGCUGCAUUGAAGUUUUACAAAGUGGGGGCUUAAUUUGUGGAAAGUAUUCCAAAUGUAAGAGGUAUCUAUUCCCAUUGACUUGAAUGUAAAUUGGAGACACUCCACGGUUAAAUCUAUUUUAAAAAGUUGUGACUACAAAGGCACUCUGAAUUGCAUAUUGUCUUGAUUUUCUUCCCCUUGUUUUCAUAUACAUCUUAAUCUCUUUUGUCUCUAUUCUUUCCCUGUUAAUUUUUGCUAUUUUCCCUUUAUUACAAUACCAUAGAUAAUGUUAAAAGUUGAAGAUACUCCAUAUUUUGGGAUAACUAUAAAAGGAGUCUGAAUAUUGUACAUCAAUAAAAUCUUACCUUUUUGAUGGUAUUAUAUUUUUAUCAUGUAUAUGGAAAAUGGAGUUGAUCCUGAUUUUGUGGCAAUAGGGAAUGGGAUCACUGUUUUUUACUUUCCUACUUGUGACAUUUAAAGAAGGGUUGAAUCUUACAAAUGAAACUUGGAAGAAAUAUAUAGCUUUAUCUAGGCCAUUGAUCCAGAGGUUUGUCAAAUCAUUAAAUUAGCCUUUGAGUCUCUGCAAAACAAGUUAGAGAGGCUUGUCAAUUUAUUAGCUUUGUGGUCUGUGGGGACCCCUUUAAAGUCUAAAGUCUCAGCAACAAGCCCUGUGCUGGCCAGCUGCAUCCUACAUAUUAUUGCAUAGGUCUCAGAAAAUUCCCUUGCCCUUCAGGGAAAGACAUUAAAAUAUAACAUGAGGUGAAGGACUUCGUCUCUAGAGUAAAUGAGCAACCCCAGCGAGAGAAGACUUACAGAAAAGGCUGCCCUCUGAAGUCUUAUGGAACCACAUCCACUUUGGCUGCUGGGGAAGUUUUGGACGAGAUGGCCUCCCCUAGCAGGAAUAUCCUGCUGUUGCUUUGGAAGACUUGUUCCCCAUGUCUUUCCUCAGUAAAGAAUUCUUUGGUUGUCAGGAGUAAGUGGGGAACUCAAGAGUGACUGGAAUCUGGAGAAAAUGGGGCCUUUGAAUUUUA